rnacentral:tRNA from 1 species
CAUUAGAUAGUUUAAAGCAAAUAUUGGUCUCUUAAAUCAACUCAUAGUAGAUUAGCACCUACUUCUAAUG